AGCAGGCAGAAGCCAUAGCAACUAGCACACACCUACACACACACAUCUGGACCUCUGUACACCUACGGCCCUGGAAAAUUAUCCAUAGACCCGCUGACUAACCCCGCCUCGUUUUUCCGAUUCCCCCAUUUCGACCAGGUCAUAGACGAGGUGCUACCUACCCCCAAAUUCCCCGCCACAGAAACGUCGGACGACAUCCGCGUCGCCAUCACAUCAUCCAGCCAUGACCAGCGGCGGCAAUCGAUGAUUGCCAUUCCCUCAGCCAACGAGAGCCAAUAGAGGCAGCCGGAAAGGAGGACGCCGGAACAGUCCGGUAACGUCGGAAGAGCCCGACAUUCGCAACACGUCAAUAACCGCAGGGGAAUCCCUCAUUUCAACGCCAAGGACUCGAAGUCACGCGGUAUAAACAUGCUGAUCAAGGAGUACCGCAUUCCGCUGCCCCUCACCGUCGAGGAGUACCGCAUCGCCCAGCUCUACAUGAUUGCGAAAAAGAGUCGCGAGGAGAGUCAUGGCGAGGGCAGUGGCGUUGAGAUUAUCAUCAAUGAGCCGUACAAGGAUGGACCCGGCGGAAAUGGUCAAUACACAAAGAAGAUCUACCACGUGGGCAAUCAUCUGCCUGGCUGGAUCAAAAGUCUCUUGCCGAAAAGCGCUUUAACCGUGGAGGAGGAGGCAUGGAAUGCCUAUCCGUAUACCAGGACUCGCUACACCUGUCCGUUUGUGGAGAAGUUCUCGCUGGACAUUGAGACAUACUAUUAUCCGGACAAUGGCUAUCAGGACAAUGUCUUCCAGCUGUCCGGAAGCGAUCUGCGUAAUCGCAUAGUAGACGUGAUUGACAUUGUGAAGGACCAGCUGUGGGGUGGCGACUAUGUGAAGGAGGAGGAUCCCAAGCACUUUGUGUCGGACAAGACGGGCCGUGGCCCUUUGGGCGAGGAUUGGCUGGAUGAGUAUUGGCGAGAAGUGAAGGGCAAGAAGCAGCCGACACCGCGCAACAUGUCCCUGAUGACCGCCUACAAGAUCUGCCGCGUUGAGUUCCGCUACUGGGGCAUGCAGACGAAGCUGGAGAAGUUCAUCCACGACGUGGCGCUGCGCAAGAUGAUGCUGCGUGCCCAUCGACAGGCGUGGGCAUGGCAGGACGAGUGGUUCGGAUUAACCAUCGAGGAUAUCCGCGAACUGGAGCGACAAACGCAACUGGCCCUGGCCAAGAAGAUGGGCGGCGGCGAGGAGUGCAGCGAUGACAGCAUCUCGGAGCCGUAUGUCAGCACGGCGGUCACCGCCGCCUCUACAACGGGCAGCGAGCGAAAGAAGUCCGCUCCGGCCGUGCCGCCGAUUGUCACCCAGCAGCCGCCGAGCGCCGAGGCCAGUUCGGAUGAGGAGGGCGAGGAGGAGGAUGACGACGAGGAUGAGAACGAUGCCAUUGGUACAGGCGUAGAUCUGUCCGCCAACCAAAGCGGAUCCGCGCAACGUUCCCGCUCCCAAAGUAUUCAGAUGGCCCAGAAGGGCAAGUUCGGGUCGAAGGGUGCCCUUCACUCUCCGGUGGGAUCUGCCCACAGCUUCGAUCUCCAGUCCAAAAAGCCGCAUGCAAAGACAGCGCCACGCAGACAUGUGGCAAACUGGCGUAUGGAGCGAUUGGAAGUGGACUCCAAAUCCAAUUCGGAUGAGGAAUUCUUUGAUUGUCUGGACACCAAUGAGACGAACUCGCUGGCCAAGUGGAGCUCGCUGGAGCUGCUGGGCGAGGGCGACGACAGUCCCCCGCCACAUGGCGGACCCUCUAGCGCAGCAUCCGUGGGUGGGCGUGGCAACUCGCGGCAAGAGGACAGCAUAUUCAAUCAGGACUUUUUGAUGCGCGUGGCCUCAGAGCGCGGCAACAAGCGACAGUUACGCUCCUCCGCCAGCGUGGAUCGCAGUCACGACUCCUCGCCGCCGGGAUCACCGAGCACACCGUCAUGCCCCACAACCAUUCUGAUCCUAGUGGUCCAUGCGGGCAGCGUUUUAGAUGCGGCCAGCGAGCUGACAGCCAAGAAAUCCGAUGUGACCACAUUCCGUGGCUCCUUUGAGGCGGUGAUGCGACAGCACUAUCCCAGCCUCCUCACUCAUGUGACCAUCAAGAUGGUGCCGUGCCCCUCAAUUUGCACCGACGCCUUGGGCAUUCUCUCCAGCCUGAGUCCGUACUCCUUUGAUGCAUCGCCCUCGGCGGCGGAUAUACCGAAUAUAGCUGAUGUUCCUAUUGGAGCCAUACCCCUACUAUCCGUGGCAUCGCCAGAAUUUCACGAGACGGUCAACAAGACAGUCGCCGCUGCCAAUAUUGUCUACCAUGAGUUCUUGAAAUCGGAGGAGGGACACGGAUUCUCUGGCCAGAUUGUCAUGCUGGGCGACUCGAUGGGCUCACUGCUGGCAUACGAGGCUCUCUGCCGAUCAAAUGGCAGCCAGCCGGGAACGGCUUCAGGCGCCUCAAAUUCUGGUGGAGAUGCAGCCACAAAUAUAAAUACCCACAAUCCGUUGAGCGCUCGAAAUUCGAGGUUGGACGAUGACGAGCGUUUCAUCGAAGCCGAUCUGGAUGCCAAGCGUUUGCUGGUGGCUCCAUCGCCACGUAGACGCCGUUCCAGCUCCUCCAGCGAUUCGCGGGCCACCAAAUUGGACUUUGAGGUCUGUGAUUUCUUUAUGUUCGGAUCGCCGCUGUCUGUGGUACUUGCUGCAAGGAAACUUCAUGAUGCCAAGGCCGCUCUGCCGCGGCCCAACUGCCACCAGGUCUACAAUCUGUUCCAUCCAACCGAUCCGAUAGCCUCGCGCCUGGAGCCGCUACUCAGCGCCCGGUUUUCGAUAUUGGCGCCAGUUAAUGUCCCACGGUACGCCAAGUAUCCGCUGGGAAAUGGUCAGCCAUUGCAUUUAUUGGAGGUCAUUCAGUCGCAUCCGCAGCACUUUAACGACGGCAACAAUCUGCUGGCUGGUCGCCGUUUGUCGGACGCAUCGAUGCAGAGCACGAUAUCGGGUCUGAUUGAGAAUGUCUCGCUUAGUACGAUCCAUGCCCUGCAAAACAAAUGGUGGGGCACAAAGCGCUUGGAUUACGCUUUAUAUUGCCCGGAGGGAUUGAGUAACUUUCCGGCUCACGCCUUGCCGCACCUCUUCCACGCCAGUUACUGGGAGAGUCCGGAUGUGAUUGCCUUUAUUCUACGGCAGAUUGGCAAAUUCGAGGGCAUACCCUUUGUGGGCUCCAACGAUGACAAGGACAAUGCCUCCUUCCAUCCAGGACAGCCGAGGGAGAAGUGGAUCAAGAAACGCACCUCGGUGAAGCUGAAAAAUGUGGCAGCCAAUCAUCGGGCCAACGAUGUGAUCGUGCAGGAGGGCAGGGAGCAGCGUUUGAAUGCGAGAUUUAUGUACGGACCCCUAGACAUGAUUACCCUGCACGGUGAGAAGGUUGAUGUGCACAUUAUGAAGGAUCCGCCGGCGGGCGAGUGGACGUUCCUCAGUACUGAGGUGACGGACAAGAACGGUCGAAUCUCGUACAGCAUUCCGGAUCAGGUAUCCCUAGGCUAUGGCAUAUACCCGGUAAAGAUGGUGGUCCGUGGCGAUCACACCUCGGUGGAUUGCUAUAUGGCGGUGGUGCCGCCGUUGACCGAAUGCGUGGUCUUCAGCAUUGAUGGCUCCUUCACCGCUUCGAUGUCGGUGACGGGCAGGGAUCCCAAGGUACGUGCCGGAGCUGUCGAUGUUUGCCGCCACUGGCAGGAGCUGGGCUACCUGCUCAUCUACAUCACCGGACGACCGGAUAUGCAGCAGCAACGCGUUGUGUCCUGGCUGAGCCAGCACAACUUCCCGCAUGGCCUGAUCUCGUUCGCCGACGGCCUGUCCACCGAUCCAUUGGGCCACAAGACGGCCUAUCUCAACAAUCUGGUGCAGAACCAUGGAAUCUCAAUUACUGCCGCCUACGGCAGCAGCAAGGACAUUAGUGUCUACACGAAUGUUGGCAUGCGAACUGAUCAAAUAUUCAUCGUGGGCAAGGUUGGCAAGAAGCUGCAGUCCAAUGCCACCGUGCUUAGCGAUGGCUAUGCCGCUCACUUGGCCGGUUUGCAGGCUGUGGGUGGUUCGCGUCCGGCGAAGGGCAAUGCGCGCAUGGUCAUUCCACGCGGAUGCUUCAAUCUUCCCGGCCAGACCGCAAAUCCGCGGCGCAGAAGGCUGCAUGAACAAGCAACGAAUGAAAAUUAAAUUAAAUUGCAACUUAAGCAAACAAAUUGUUUAGAGCAAUAAAAAACCAACAAUUAAAGCAUCUUGUAAACAGAUAGAAGCGUAAAAAAAACCAAAACAUACAGACAAUUCAUGUUAGCAUUAGUGUUAUAGAAUUUUUCAGUUCCUUUGUUAAGUAUUUUAAAGCAUACCUAGCUGAGCAUUUUAUUGAUUGAUUGAUUGGUGUUGUGAGAAAAAUAAACAAAAUUUAUAAACCCCACACUAGAGGUGGGCUAAAAAAUUCGAUAAAUAUCGAUCUUAGAAACGUUUCCACCUCCAAACCACACUUAGAGCCAAAAUUCAACUCUUUCUCAACAUUAACUCUGUCUUUCUUUUUCCAAACCAAAAUAAAAAAUAUCCAAAAUUUGCCUGAAAAAAAAACAAAACAAAUCCAACACCCACACCAACACACACACCUCACACGCACACACUGCCAUCGAACCCGUCUGUCAUCGAAAAGCACAGCAACGAGACGGGACUCUCAUCACCCAUACGCAGUGGUUACCUGAAGCGCAAGACCUACCUGAGCCACCACUAGGGCAGCAGAGAUGCAGAUGCAGCUACUCUAUAGAUCGAUCCAUCAGAUAGAAGUGAAACCAAUGUACUCACGACCCCAAUAGAAAUCCCCUCGAAAUAGCGAACAAACAUAUAUAGAGCCAAUGGACAACAAGACCGAUGCCUCCAUAUGCCACAUCUGUGUAUAUACCAUAUGAAUAUAUAUUUAUAUACUAUGCGCGAUAUAUUGAAAGUUUAAUGGUGUAAUAUAUACAUAUAUAUAUAACAAAUACCAAAUUUGCAAAUGAGAAAAAAAAAACAAUUGUACAACAUUUAACAAAAGUCAAAUGUGUCACGCGGUACCUGGAAAGAAAGACUGUUUCCUCCUGUUGUUUGAUGGUUUUCCAAACCACUUAAAAAGCAUAAAAAAAACAUUGAAAACUACACGAAACAAGAGCCGAUCGCAAAGCUAUAUACUAAAUACAAAUAUAAAUGAUAUAUACAAGGAUAUCUUCGAAAUAUAGAACCGUUUAACAUAUGCAAGCGAACCAAGUUCAACAAACCAAGUGAGAUACGACAACUGAAGGACAAACUACUGAAACCGAAGAUCUCCGGAUGAUUACAGAUACAACUAAGGGAAGCGAGGGGAGCGGAUAGAGUUGCAAAAUCAAAAGGAAAAUUAAAUGCAUUUCUCGAGAAACAACCACUAUAAAAGUAUAAAUUAACGGCUUCCGUAAACCAAACCAAAAAUCUAAAAAUAGAAUUAUCUAUGUGUAAUGUGCGUGUAAAAUUGACAAAAAAUUAAAAAAAAAAAAAAUCGGUUCUAAAGAAGAAAAAGUUAAAUGUAAAAACUUCAUGAAAUUGAAUACAAUCUCUUAACUGGCCCCAGAAAUUUCAAAUCUCCGUAAUUGUGAUAGUCUUUCGCUACCAAAAGUUAUUUAAAAAGAUGAAAAAACAACAAAAUAUAUAUAUUUAUCUCUACUAAAAUUGUUAUUCGAAAAUGAAAGGCAUUUCGGAAAGAAAAAAAACAGAAACUAUUGGAUAUUGUGUAAACGUAAAACCCGAUUUUGUGAUACCAAAACUAAAACCGAAACCAAAGUUCAGUUCGUAUUGAGAUGCGUUCAAGCCGACAACUUAAAAACCUAUACAAACAACUCACGGCGACCUGACGAUGUAACGGGCAUUGAAUCUUACCCAUAUAGUAAUAUAUAUAUACAUCUAUAUAUAUAUAUAUAUAUAUAUACAUAUACCACUAUGUACGCAAACCCCCAGUUAUGGGCUGUCCACGCAAGUUAACUAAAAACUCUCACACAUCUUGUAAGCUAAAGAAAACUCGGAUGUAAACCAGAUAACCACAAUUGAAGGUACAUAUGGGACCGUAAAAAUAAGAGAGAAGAUAUAGGAAUCUGUAAUCUGUUCGAUCCGUUUAGGUCAACCUAAGCCAAAGUUAGUUGAGUUAGGCGAUUAAGAUACUUCCUAAACUGAAAAGUAAAUCCAAAUUAAAGAGUUUAAAGCGAUAGUUGUAAUGAGAACAGAGUAAUUGUAUGUAAAGAUGAAAGAAGAUAAAUAACUAAAUCAUAUACUGUAUAUUUAUAUAGCGCAACUACAUUAAGGUCUUUUCAAGCUUGCUAACUGAAAAAGUGUUCCGAUUAAAGUAUUGUCCGGCUAUACGUUCCUCUUUCCUCCACUUCAGUCGAUUUUUAGCUAUAUUUUGUGUUUUAUUUUUCCUUUGUAGCAAGUUAAAUUAAACUGAAAACUGAUGGAAGAUCUUAUAGAUUUUAAGACGAAUCUCGACCUAUGAAAAGUUUAUCCUAUAUAAGUGAGUAGUUCAAGGUUCAAGAGCGAGGUAAAAAGAAGUUUAGAAGCAAGUCCUAUUAGAUAACACACCAGAUACUCAUAGAGUCAAAAUGUUAAUGUCUGUCUACUUAGCUGGUAAAUUAAGGGCAUUUUUGCUAUACGUUUUCUAUAAGUCUCGGCCGACUUCCCAACUAGAUCUAUUUGUAUAUGAAUACUUCGUUCAACUUCUCAGCGUAGAAUAUUUGAGCUUAUAUCUUAUGUGCUUCAAACGGUUCAUAUCACUUUAUUUUUUUGCGAGAGAUAAUCGUUAUUUGUGUUGAAAAUUGGAAUUAUCUUGCACUGUCGUGUAUAGUUUUACAUAAAUCCCCCCCACCUGAGGCAGAAAUAAGCUGAAGAAAUAGAACUGGAAAACUCAAAUGGAUUCAGAUUUCACACAAUGGCAUUUUAGUGCUUGCUCUUGAUUGAUUUACUCUUUAUUUAUCGUUGCAAUUUAUAGAAAUCUAUGUACAUCGUACACCCACUUUUUUCUCCUUCAUCGAAAUAAGAACUCCCAAAGCCAAUAAAGCGUUAAGCGAAAUUGCAUUGAUAUUUUGAGAACCCACCAUUUAGAUGAUAAGCUAAAGCCCUCACACAAAACUGACGAUGACUAAUGCAGAAAAUAUAAUCAAAGAACAAAACACUGAAAACAAUGGAAAUGUUUAACCGAACAACAGCCUAAUGUUUACGUACAUACAUAGGAAAAUAUAUGCCCGCAUGGUUAUGUAUUUUAAUUAUUAAGUGCAAAAGUCCAGGAAUAACAAAUACGAAUUCAGAUUGUAAACAAUUGUAAGGAGAGCGAAGCGAAAUGCGAAGAAUAUACGAAAUUAUUUAUUGACAACAAAGUCUACAAACCGAAGAACAAAAAAAUGAGGAGCAAGCCAAAUGCAAUCUAUUUACAAAAUCCUAAGAAAAUAAAAAGCAAAGCCAGAAUUACAAACAAAAUAAAUUAAGCUGAGCUGAUUCCACGGAAAUGAAUAUAUAUAUAUAUAUUAUACAUACAUAUAUAAUGUAAACCUACCCAAAAAUAAGAUAUUUUUAAGCCAAUAAUUGAAAUUGGACUAUGACAAAUAACAAGAGUAAACCAAUUGAAAUAUGGCAGUAAGAAAUAUUUUUCGAUCUAAGCUGUUUGUUAGAAAAAAGAUCGAGUUUCAGUGAAUAGUGUCGAAUCAAUUCACAGAAAAUCGAUAAGAAAGCGGUUCAUGACAAGAUUACAAAAAAAUGAAAUAAAAAACAAAUGUUCUAUUUGAUGUUGCAAAUGAGAAAAAUAAAUAAAACAUGUUAUGUGAAAAGAUAUGUGUAUAAAAUGGACUCCGGGGAAUGGACAUCUGGUAAUGAAAAUUGUGGGCAACUUCGCAAGAUAAUUUUUUUAUAGCUAAGCUAACGCUGUUUAGUGAAUCCCACUUUCUGAUAAAAAAAAGAAAAAUUGAUUUAAAUAAUAAAUAAAAACGAUUUAAAUCAACAAAAUCGCACCAUAUGACGAAUGCGAAUGCACGCUGUACUCUUUGUUUGAUUAAUCAAUCAAAUGAGAUGCUAAUCACAUUAUAACUCGCAAAACGAACAUCUGAAAACCAGCCCAUCCAUUUAUAUGUGUACAUAGAAUACUAACUAUUAUCAUUAACAAAUAUAAAAGAAUACGGUUUGGCUUCGCGCUACAAACAUCGUUGGAUAAUUAUUAUUAUUGUCACACAAAUAGCUAUAUUUACUUUUGUAUCAUUUGGUUUUUUGCUUUUAAUUUAAUACCAGUUACAGUUCGAGACUCUCUUGUGUUGCCUUUUUAGUUACGGAGGUUCCACUGUAUAGAGUUGGCAGAGGCAAAGUUCAGAUCCACAGUCAUAUACAAUACUUUAUUAUCAAUCAGGUUUAGUUGUUUACAUUAACUACAAACGUCAGUUGCGAAUUGGAAUGGAAAUAAAAGGGGGGUUAAUAGAAAAUAGAGGGAUUUGUUAUCAGCGCAAAGCCGGAGUACAUAUUGCAUCUACAGCUUGGGCAGACCCGCCGAUAUGGAGCUCUCGAUGCCGCAAUGAUCCUGGCCACGCAGAAUGCGGAAGAAUCCCUGAUCGCCCCAGUCGGUGUUCCACGAGUUGCCAAUGAGCCAGUAGGGGAUCUUCUCGUCGCCCCAAACGCCCCAGCCCAAAAUGCGAAUGGCAUGACCGCCCAGCUCCUUGCCAUGCUCGUGCUGAUAGACGCCGUCCUUGUACAGAAUGAGAUCCUCAUAAACGGUGAAGGCGCCCUCAACUGGUCCAUUGGUCAUGAUCUCCUCUUGAAUGUCGCGCACAUUGCGCCUCACCGAGUACGA